rnacentral:lncRNA from 1 species
GUUUUAGUUGCAGUGGGGUUUGCAUUUUGAAAUGGAUUGGAAGGAUUAAUUUGCACCACGGCCUUUCUGAUUUAGAGUAAAUUUUCCGCCACCAUUUACAUAGUAGGCUAGCAUUGAAGGUACAAAAGUUGAAUACUCCCAAUCCUCCAUAUUUCUUGGGUCUGCAAACGCUAGUCCAUUUCAUUCUACAGUGUACCCAAUAGUGCGGUUUUCUUCUCCUCUCCAGAG